ensembl:snRNA RNU6-345P RNA, U6 small nuclear 345, pseudogene
AUGCUUACUUCAGCAGCACAUAUACUAAAACUGGAAUGAUACAGAGAAAAUUAGCAUGGCCCCUGCAUAUGGAUGACACACAAAUUCAUGAAGCAUUCCAUAGUUUU